rnacentral:misc_RNA from 1 species
AGCUUUUGGCAACGGAUCACUUGGCUCUCGCAUCGAUGAAGAACGCAGCGAAAUGCGAUAAGUAAUGUGAAUUGCAGAUUUUCAGUGAAUCAUCGAAUCUUUGAACGCACCUUGCACCCUUUGGUAUUCCGAAGGGUAUGCUCGUUUGAGUGUCAUUGUACUCUCACACUCUCUGAUCCUUUGGAUUCAGGGAGCGGUGGACUUGGGUGUUUGCUGCUUUCCUAGUGGCUCACCUCAAAUGCGUCAGUGCCCCUCGUGGUUGGACAUAGUACGGCGUGAUAAGUAUCUUCGCCGGCACCUCGCGAGAGGGUGGCUGAUCGGGAGCUCUGUGCUUUCAAACCGUCUUCGGACAAUCUCUGACAACUUGACCUCAACUCGAGUAGGACUACCCGCUGAUCUUAAGCAUAUCAAUAAGCGGAGGCU